CUCCAGGAAUUUUGAGUCUGCGCAUGCUGUCGUUCUUGUUUACUCAAAGAAAGUAAGCACAUUGGCAGGCAUACAUGAUGUCAUUCAGCUUUCACCGUGGCUUUUGUUGUCCCUGGGAAUAGCACAAAAUCAAACUUUCACAAUCAAGAGCAAGAAAUGGAAGUUCAAAAGUCAUAUCCAACAACAACAUUUCCAUUUCAUCAUCAACGUCUGUUCAGUAUUUUCUUUACUUCUGCGCCACUUACAAUCUGCUUGUGUCCAUCUCUAGACUAGUCACUUUUGCCCUGCAAUACAAACCAUUUUGGUUCUUCAAUUGCAUGGCUUGGCUUCACUCUGAUUACUGCUAGAGUUUCUCAAUCACUACUACCAUCCACGAGAGUUCAUGCUCAUGAAUACUUUGGCGCCACGACUUCUUUUUUUUUUCAUCCAACCAUGGAAUUCUUAAGAAGCUUGUUCUUUUUUUUUUUUUUUUCUCUCUCUCUCUUUUUAGGCUAAAGCUGAUCUCUGCCCAGCCAACCACUGACCCAAAUGAAGGGUUUUUCCCAGUUCAUCAUCAUUUCUUUUCUUCUCUCUUUUUUUUUUUUUUUUUUAAAGUUGUUCCCUUUAUAUAGCUGGCUAGUUAGUCUAAAGUUCUCAAUUGAGCACUUCAAAAACUUUAUUGUAUGCCUCGUACUAUUGGAUAGCGGUUGCUGUGAACAAGAUUCUUGAUCAUUGGAACUUGCAAACCAAGUUGAAUAUGACUAGGAUUGAUCCCUGCACCAAGAAUGCUACUUGGGCACCAGACGCAGCAAAUCCCAGGAUUGCUUGUGAAUGUUCUGCCACUGUCUGCCAUAUAACUCAAUUGAAAAUUUAUGCUCUGGAUAUUUCUGGCGAACUUCCUCAGCAACUUUUUCAGCUAAAAGAGCUCAUGGACUUGUACAUUGAUAGGGGUGGAGUAAGUGGACCCACUCCACAAGAACUCUCAAAGCUGAAGUCCCUUCGUACAUUAUAUGACUGAACUUUAGCAUCAGGCUAAGUCCUGAAUAAUGGAGGGAAAAAGUCAAAAGUCAAAGUCAACAUGUCUUUUGCAACUUGCUGGUGGGCAUCAGAAAACAGAUUUACAGGAAAGCCCCCCUGAAUUCCUGGAAAGUCUUGCAGCUCUCACCAUGGUUUGCCGUCGGGUCGUGGUAGCAUCGUGGUCUCAAUUAUUCCAUAUUCUUCAUAAUAUAUCGGUUGAAUAUCGAGUGAUACACCUAUUAUAACAUAUAAAAAUUUUCAAAAAAAUCUUAAAAAAUUACUAAAUUUAGAAAAUAUCAAAAAAAGUACAAUCUGAAAAAAUAUUCGAAUCAACUCCGAGUUGAUUUGGAUAUAUGCCCAAUACAAUAUAUCACGGAUUCGAAUCGGCCAAUAUCGAUUGAGUCAGAGCGAGUCGCCGCAGAUAUGGUAACAUCCGUGAUUCGAGAUCGGUAUCAUACCAGUUCCUUCCGUUCCAAUUAUGACUCUGUCAAUUCGUAUCGGAAUCGGCCGAUACUGCUAACCAUCACAGUCCUGUAUGCUGUGGCAUGUGUUUUCCCUUUCCAUUUUAGUUCCUUUGGUUCACAUUGAACUUUCCCCUUUUUCCUUCCUAAAAUUGGGUCUCAUGUUUUAGUGAAUCUCUAGCUGAUCAGUUUCCAAUAACAGGAGGCUAGCUUGAAGGAAGGAACUAGUCUUGAAUGUCAAAUUCCAAGCAGCUUUGGUGCACUUACGAAACUGGAAGACUUGUAAGGAAGUCUAGUAGUUUAGUUUCCUCAAAUGCAGUAGUUACUUUUCUACUCGCUUAUAUUUUAGUAUCAAACGUGCACGAAUUUUCAUUAACACCUCCAUUGAUGAUUAUAAGUCAACUUCUUCACUGCUUUGUGACUAUUCCACUUGAUGAUAGUUCCAAUUAUACAUGCACACAAAAGUGUCCUAAGUCAGCUCUGCUAAGUUUGCUACUCUGCGUCAGGAAUGUAUGUUGUAGGCACUUCAAUCAAUGGCAACAGUUCCCAUAACAGGUUAGCCUUUUAAACUUUUAAUUAGCAAAGAACUCGGUUGUUUAAUCAAGUUUUGCUUGUCAGAACUAAAAUGAGCAUUGAUAAUAAACUGAGAUGCAACUCAAUUGAGUCUUAUCCUCACAGUGAGUAAAAUAUAACACGCUCUAGCUUCCUCAAUCUCUUUUCCACUAAUUUAGGUGAUAAUAAUCCAAAAUUGGUUCUUCCGAUCGAUGCAGGAAAAUGACUGCAAAGCUGAAUUGCCUUCAAGGCAAUGCGAGGUGCGCUGACAUAAUAUCUAGGCUCUAAACAUUUCUUGGUCAUUGAAUUAUACAUAGUAACCGCAAUAACGCGAGAUUAUAGGCCACGCCUAAAGGACUUUAACAACAUUGCUAACCAAAGAAACUUCUCCAUAUAUUAUUGUUUGAAUUAUAGAUUUGUUGCGUAAAUUUAAUUAUGUUGUUGAAGCUUCAUCCUCCAUCAACUGUGGAGGCACAGAACAAGUUUCUGCAGCAGGAAUAAAAUUUGAUGAUGAUUCAGAAGCGUUAGGAGCUGCCUCCUUGUACACAAGCCCCAGCACUGAAUGGGCAGUCAGCAGCUCAGAAGCUUUCAUUGCAAACCCGAACGGACCCCAAAUUUGUAGCUCAAAGGGUUUCUCAAAUCACAGGUACAUUAGAUUCUGAGCCACAUAAAACAGCAAGGCUGUCAGCGAGUUCAUUAAGAUAUGACGGCCUUGGACUGAAAAACGGAAAGUACAAUGUCGAGAUCCACUUUGCUGAGAUGCAAAUGGAAGAUUCUCAAUCCUGGAAAGGUCUUGGCCCUGGGAGACGCUUAUUCGACAUUUACGGCCAGGUUAUGCCGUGAAUUUUAAUGUUGAAGAUUUCCAAUAGAGCAGUGGUUGAGACGUUCCAGGCAAAUGUAACAAACACGGUGAUGUACAUACAUUUGUACCGGGCAGGAAGAGGAACUUGCUGCAUCCCUUUUCAAAGCACUUAUGGUCCAUUGGUUUCAGCCAUCCACGUUACUCAAGCAUCUGAUUCGAUCGGUUCUUCAAGAAGUAACAACAAAAGCAUUUUGUUGAGAUAGCAGCUGGAACUGGAAGUGCAGCAGGGCUGUUGAUAAUUUUGUUCCACUUUCUACAUGUAGCGGACUAAAGGAAGCACCAGCCCACAUGCGAGUAAAAACUGACUCUCCAAGAAAAGAAUAAAAUUUGCAGGCAAAAUAGCAGGCUCUUUGAGGGUGUUGCUUUCUGAUUACUUUUGGACAUUUUGAGAACAAAAGUUUCUUCUGGACACAUAGAUAGCUAGGAAUCCUUACAUAAAUUUGUCAUCAAGAAAUUUUGAGGGAUUAGUUGCUCGAAAUAUUAGACAUCCAGUUUCCUUAGCCUGUGGGGCAUCCAUGGAUUUUCUCCAGGAAAAAAAAACAAGUUUGGAAAACUGUAAAUAUAGAUAAAAUAAACAUGAAGCUUCAUGCUGUG